UCUCACGAAUUCGUGAACCGCGAGCGCCGCCGCCGCUGACAAACUCCUUGACUCUCGUCUCCAGGUGCUAAACUCACUCACGCAUGGCUAGAACACACCUUCAAGCGUCUCCCAUCAGAGGAUAAUCCACUCCCCACUGCGUCAUCAUUCAGCGCCGGUUCUUCGAUCGACCUACGUCAAUCCAAGGACAUUGGUGACCAUUUAUCUUCAUUUGAGUUUAGAACUCUCAUGGAUUGUCUUAUAUGAUUGCAUCUGCAUUCAUACACAUCAAUGCAAAUUCAAGAUCUUUGGAUUCCUACGAAAUUAAGAAAGUCAUGGUCUGCGGCGCAUCAAAGUCAUUUUCAUGGGACUUCAUUUGUUUACCGAGGAGCCUUUGGGUCCGGCUGGCUUUGCAUCUCACUCACAUCACAUGAGCCACGUUCUCCGAAUUCAUAGUGACCACACUCCCUAUUUUAUACGGCAAUCAGUUGCCAUAGUUGACCUCCACUUGUGCUUAACCCCAGAUGGAGCAGUUGGAUGCAGAUAUUUGAUCGGCUCGUGUCUAGUGUACCAGGAGACAGGGUAACAUGGAUUUAAGGACACAUCGAUCGGAUCACCUGGCUGUACUACCACACUGGAUAUCAUAGCAUGUACCACUGGACUCCAAACUUGAUUUUUCUUUUCUGCGGCGAACUUCA